CAAAAUGACCAAUGAGGAGACAAGAUACUUUCAAAGCUGGAGGGAGAGGGAGGAACAAAGGCUGUCUGUCCAUCUGUGGGAUGCUUUUGCCGGGAACAGAUCAGGAAUGCUCUUCAUAACUCCUCAGAACUUCUGUUAAGUUAGAGCUGUAGGUGGACCAGGAUGAACAACCAUGGACCAGACCCCUAUUAGGUGAGGUGGUAUACAAACACAGAACGAAAAGAUGGUCUCUGCCCUGAGACACUUACAACCUAUGUAUAAGACAGGAGACAACUGAUCAAUACAGCCUGAUGUGGGAGUCCAGGAGUGGGUCUAAAAUGUGAUGUGACCAAAGGGCUGAAUCAUGAAGAGGUGGACCACAGCAGGACCCAAAGCAAUCAAGUGCAAGGGGCACUGGAAGAGGAGAGCCUGGUACACCAUGCCCAGCUGCGAGGGGGGUGCGCCAGCCAUGAGUCCUCUCUUCUACAGUUCUGUGAAAUAACAAAAGUAAAAGGAUCCAGGGGGCAACCUGAAUUGGACCAUUGAAAACUAUCUGUGAUCUCACUUUGCAAGGCACAGAUUGGCUCAGGCAAGACAGUGACACUGAUGUACAGCUUUGGUUCUCAUGGAAACUUUCUGGCACUGAGGCUUGCAAGAAGUAAACCAACACAUUUUAAUUUGCUUUUGCUGCUAAUUUUUUUAAAAAUGCUUGCAAUGCUUUUGCAAUUUAAAUGACUCUGAUUUCAAAUAUUUCAUUGAAACAUUUUAGAAUUAUUUCACUGCCUGAAAAAUGUAAAGCAAAAAAAAAAAGUUUGACUCAUUAUUAUUUUUCAAUCUUCAGCCAGUGUGAUGUCUCUCAUUAACAGAGUUUUUGCAUGUGUGGGUUUUUAUAGAUUUGGCAGUGGGAUGUGUGUUUCGCUGAAUGUAUUAUUAUAUUUUUAGACAGUUUCUUUGGAAGAAAUUUCACUUUUUUUUUAUUUUUUCAGUCUCUUUGGUGAACUGAUGUGAAGUGUUUUUGGUUGUGUUUUGUGAGGGGGGAAUCACGUUUGAAGGUUACUUGAGACAGACGGAUGUACUGUGAAGAGUUUCAUGCUAAAAUACUGUGUAUUUUGGUCACCAGAGGACGUCACCUUUUUUGAGCUAUUGACCUCCUGAAGAAUCAGGGCACCAUGUGGUCUGAUGGGCUAAUGGGGCUAUUUUUAUGUUUACAAUUUACAAUAAACAGUGCCCCAGUUCUCAAGGUUUUUGAAAAAACUAUUAUUCUUGUCUCUCAGUGAUAAACAAAAGCUAUUCCCUUGGCUUUGAGGAGAAAAACAAAGGCAGUCCUUCAGAGUACUGGAAACACACUAUUUCCUUGCUCUUGGGGGAGUUCAGCCAAUGCUGGCCCUGUGUUUCAGGGAGAAGAAACAAAGAAGUCUCUCUUCUUUAAGGGAAAUUAAAUAAAGUAGUAUAUCACAUUCCCUUCUUUCAAAGAAGGUAAAUGAAGUGAAUCUCCAGGAUCUCCAGUGAAUCUCACCAGGAUCAGAGCAUAUGUUCUCCCUUUUUUGACGAGGUCCAGGAUAUACUCUAGCCCUUACCUUCUAAUCCCAGGAAAGAUGGUCACCUUUAGAGGAAAAGUUAUGCUUGUCCCAUACCGAACAAAAACCACCACCAAGCUAGCCCCAACUUCAAACCUGCUCUUAAUACAAGUGCCAGCUUGUACAUAGUGUCAUCGUGCGUCUGUGGGUCACAACUGAGAAUAUGAAAUUCAGGACAAACUGCUGAGAAAUAGGGCAGACACACUUCUGUUUCACCACACUGGAAAACAAGAAGUCAGAAAAACAGUCUCCUUAGCACUCCGGUCCUUGUAUCACCACCAAAAACACUAGACUUAAUGAUGAGUGGUUAUUAAACCAAUUUCAUGAAAGAAAAGGGUUCUUCUGAUCCCAAAGGACCAGCCACAUACCCAGUCAGUAUAUAACUCAGAUCUUACCCAAUAAACACUGUUACCAAUCUUUUAGUAUCUAAAAUCUGAAGGUUUAUUUAUAAAAAAGAAACAAAAAAAAGUGAGAGUUAAAAUUGUUAAAGGAAUCAAAUAUAUAAAAUAAUUGCAAAGUUAUUGGUUCAGGCUUGUAGCAGUGAAGGAAUAAACUGCUGGCUUGUUAAGUCUCUGCUUGCUGCCAAAUCAUUGGAAGGUCCUCAGUCCCUUGGUUAGAAUGCUCACAUUAGUACAAGUUCAAGGUCGAGAGGUUUGAGUAGGAAAGAGGAAAAAUUGAACUGUUUCCAGGGCCUUAUAUAGCUUCUGCCAAGUGAAGGGAAAUCUAUUGUUCUCACUGUGGAAAUCUGCAGGUAACAAGAGGGUUUUUGCAUACACAUGUCCAUGCAUGAUUUUGCUUAGUCAUAGCAGAGGCCAUCAAAGAAAAGUCCAUUAAGUGUAGAGAGGCAUCUUCCAUGGCCCACUGUGAGCCAUUUAACUUGAAUAGUCCCUUCAGGAUGUGCAGGCUAAGUACCUUGUGGUCAUUGCCACAAGAACAAACAUAUUUGAAAUACAGGUAUAGAGCCAAUACUCAUAACUUCACAUGCAAAAAUGAUACAUGCAUACAAAUAGCAUAAUCAUAUUCAGCAAAUCAUAACCUUUCCAUAGACACCUUACUUGACUACUUUGUACAAGAUUUGUUGCAAUUAUAUAACAGUAGUAGCAACAAUGAUCUACGUGGUCAUAUUUUAUCAGAUAACAUCACACAUAGCAUCUUGCUUUCCUCCAGCUCCUUCUUUUGCUUCAUGGAGAGAUGUCUGCUUUCCUGAAGAACCCUUUCACAGUGAUCAAGGUUCCACUCUCUUGCCAUCCGAAGAAAUGCCCAGAAAUGACAAGUGGUCUUACUCAGUCAACACCAGCAUUAAAGGCCGUCUGUAGGUCAUUACCACUAUUACCUACUCUUCUCUAUCCCCACUCAACUAGGCCCUGAUUCAAAAGAAUAUUUAAACACAUGCCUAUCUUGCAUUGAAGUCAAGGGAACUUAAGCACAAGCUUAAAGUUAAGAACAUGCUUAAUUGCUUUAGUGCAUUGGGUUCCUGCUGCUUGCUGUAUCCCCUUUCUCGUCAGUG